UACGGGGGGAGCAAGCGUUGUUCGGAUUUACUGGGCGUAAAGGGCGCGUAGGCGGCCACCGCAAGUCAGUUGUGAAAGCUCUGGGCUUAACCCAGAAAGGUCAGCUGAUACUGCGGGGCUAGAGUGCAGAAGGGGCAACUGGAAUUCUCGGUGUAGCGGUGAAAUGCGUAGAUAUCAAGAGGAACACCUGCGGCGAAGGCGGGUUGCUGGGCUGACACUGACGCUGACAGCGCGAAAGCUAGGGGAGCGAACGGG
rnacentral:rRNA from 1 species